GGUAUAUGGGCUUGAUAUAAAUCCAAGAGCAGUAAAGAUCUCGUGGAUAAAUUUGUACUUGAAUGCUCUGGAUGACAAUGGUGAACCAAUAUAUGAUGAUGAAAAGAAAACACUGCUAGAUAGGGUAGAGUUUCACGAGUCUGAUCUGCUAGCUUGGAUGACAAUGGUGAACCAUAUAUGAUGAUGAAAAGAAAACACCACUAGAUAGGGUAGAGUUUCACGAGUCUGAUCUGCUAGCUUACUGCAAAGAUAAUCACAUCGAACUUGAAAGAAUUGUUGGAUGCAUACCAC
rnacentral:lncRNA from 1 species